rnacentral:rRNA from 1 species
GUCGAGAAUCUUCCGCAAUGCGCGAAAGCGUGACGGAGCGACACCGCGUGAUGGAUGAAGUCCUUCGGGGCGUAAACAUCUUUUAUAAAGGAGGAAAUUUUUGACGUUACUUUAUGAAUAAGGGGCUCCCAAUCUCGUGCCAGCAGGAGCGGUAAUACGAGAGCCUCAAGCGUUAUCCGGAAUCAUUGGGCGUAAAGGGUGCGUAGGUGGUUUGAUUAGUCUCCUGUUAAAACUUCGAGCUUAACUCGAAAAGAGCGGGGUAAACGGUCAAACUAGAGUAUGUGAGAGGUGUGUGGAACUCAUGGUGUAGGGGUGAAAUCCGUUGAUAUCAUGGGGAACACCAAAAGCGAAGGCAGCACACUGGCACAUCACUGACACUGAGGCACGAAACCUAAGGUAGCGAAUGGGAUUAGAUACCCGAGUAGUCC